GAUGAACGCUGGCGGUAUGCUUAACACAUGCAAGUCGAACGGGAUGCUUAGGCAUCUAGUGGCGGACGGGUGAGUAACGCGUGAGAAUCUGGCUCCAGGUCGGGGAUAACAGUUGGAAACGACUGCUAAUACCGGAUGUGCCGAGAGGUGAAAGAUUUAUUGCCUGGAGAUGAGCUCGCGUCUGAUUAGCUAGUUGGUGGUGUAAGGGACCACCAAGGCGUCGAUCAGUAGCUGGUCUGAGAGGAUGAUCAGCCACACUGGGACUGAGACACGGCCCAGACUCCUACGGGAGGCAGCAGUGGGGAAUUUUCCGCAAUGGGCGAAAGCCUGACGGAGCAAUACCGCGUGAGGGAGGAAGGCUCUUGGGUCGUAAACCUCUUUUCUCAAGGAAGAAGAAAGUGACGGUACUUGAGGAAUAAGCAUCGGCUAACUCCGUGCCAGCAGCCGCGGUAAUACGGAGGAUGCAAGCGUUAUCCGGAAUGAUUGGGCGUAAAGGGUCUGCAGGUGGAACUGAAAGUCUGCUGUUAAAGAGUUUGGCUUAACCAAAUAAAAGCGGUGGAAACUACAGAACUAGAGUGCGGUAGGGGCAAAAGGAAUUCCUGGUGUAGCGGUGAAAUGCGUAGAUAUCAGGAAGAACACCGGUGGCGAAAGCGUUUUGCUAGACCGUAACUGACACUGAGGGACGAAAGCUAGGGGAGCGAAUGGGAUUAGAUACCCCAGUAGUCCUAGCCGUAAACGAUGGAUACUAGGCGUGGCUUGUAUCGACCCGAGCCGUGCCGGAGCUAACGCGUUAAGUAUCCCGCCUGGGGAGUACGCACGCAAGUGUGAAACUCAAAGGAAUUGACGGGGGCCCGCACAAGCGGUGGAGUAUGUGGUUUAAUUCGAUGCAACGCGAAGAACCUUACCAAGACUUGACAUCCUGCGAAUCCUGGUGAAAGCUNGGAGUGCCUUAGGGAGCGCAGAGACAGGUGGUGCAUGGCUGUCGUCAGCUCGUGUCGUGAGAUGUUGGGUUAAGUCCCGCAACGAGCGCAACCCUCGUUUUUAGUUGCCAGCAUUAAGUUGGGCACUCUAGAGAGACUGCCGGUGACAAACCGGAGGAAGGUGAGGAUGACGUCAAGUCAGCAUGCCCCUUACGUCUUGGGCUACACACGUACUACAAUGCUACGGACAGAGGGCAGCNAGCCAGGGAUGGCAAGCGAAUCCAGAAACCGUAGCUCAGUUCAGAUCGAAGGCUGCAACUCGCCUUCGUGAAGGAGGAAUCGCUAGUAAUUGCAGGUCAGCAUACUGCAGUGAAUUCGUUCCCGGGCCUUGUACACACCGCCCGUCACACCAUGGAAGUUGGUCACGCCCGAAGUCAUUACCCCAACCGAAAGGAGGGGGAUGCCUAAGGUAGGACUGGUGACUGGGGUGAAGUCGUAACAAGGUAGCCGUACCGGAAGGUGUGGCUGGAUCACCUCCUU
rnacentral:rRNA from 1 species